GCUGGGCUGGCUCAGUGGGUAGGGCAUCCGACUUCAGCUCAGGUCAUGAUCUCUCGGUUCGUGGGUUUGAGCCCCGCAUCUGGCU
rnacentral:tRNA from 1 species